GCGACAGGCCUAACACAUGCAAGUCAGGGGCAGCACAAGGAGCAAUCUGAGGUGGCGACCGGCGCACGGGUGAGUAACACGUAUGCAACCUGCCUGUAAGCGGGGAAUAACCCGUUGAAAGACGGACUAAUACCGCAUAAUACUAAAUUACUGCAUGGUAAUUUAUUUAAACAUUUAUGGCUUACAGAUGGGCAUGCGCAUGAUUAGCUAGUUGGAGAGGUAACGGCUCCCCAAGGCAACGAUCAUUAGGGGUUCUGAGAGGAAGGUCCCCACACUGGUACUGAGACACGGACCAGACUCCUACGGGAGGCAGCAGUGAGGAAUAUUGGUCAAUGGACGAGAGUCUGAACCAGCCAAGUCGCGUGCAGGAAGAAUGUCCUAAUGGAUUGUAAACUGCUUUUGCAGGGGAAUAAAGUGCAUCACGUGUGAUGUUUUGUAUGUACUCUGCGAAUAAGGAUCGGCUAACUCCGUGCCAGCCGCAGC
rnacentral:rRNA from 1 species